GACGUAGGGGGCAAGCGUUAUUCGGAAUUAUUGGGCGUAAAGCGCUCGUAGGCGGGACUGGAAGUCCGUGUUGAAAGACCUCGGCUCAACUGAGGGACCGGCUCGGAUACUCUAGUACUUGAGGCAAUCAGAGGGUGAUGGAAUUCCCGGUGUAGAGGUGAAAUUCGUAGAUAUUCGCAAGAACACCAGUGGCGAAGGCGGCUCACUGGCCCGGUACUGACGCUGAGGCACGAAAGCGUGGGGAGCAAACAGG
rnacentral:rRNA from 1 species